UUCCCUCCCAUACAAGCACAUCCCCCUCCGCUGCAAGCCUAUCACCCUCACCUACAAAAAUAAUAAAAAAAUAAAAAAACCUACCUACAAACCCAUCCCGUCUUCUCUCCUGUUUCCCAUGCGCCCUGCAAACCCAUCCCUCCCCCUGUCAAUCUCGAAAUCCCCUCCCUGGCUCCCUCCUUCCCCCAAAAUUUUUUCCAUUUCCCUCCCUCCUGCAAACCCAUCCCAUUUUCCCAUCUCCCCUGCCAAGCCCCUCUCCGUGUCCCUCACCACUCACCAUAAGCGCCCUCGCCUUCGUUGCCCUCGCCUACCCUCGUCGCUCCCUCGCUGGCCGCAGUCGCUCAUCACCGUAGCCUAGUCGCCCUCAACUUCGUUGCUCGCCCGCGCUUGCCGUCGCCGCCCUAGGUCUCCCCGCUCACCGUUGCCGCCCUCACCUUCUCCCUCGGCCUCUGUCGCUCGCCCUCACCUUCUCCCUCAGCCUCUAUCGCUUGUCGUCGGCGCCCUCACCGUCCCCGUCGCCCCUGCCAAUGCCACUUUCUGGUAUAUGUAAUAUGGCACACAGAUCAUCAUAUGGUCAGUCUAUGCGUCGUCGUCAGUUCAGAGACACUGAUGGGGAGGACCACAUUGGGGGACUUUCAUCUCUGUCCACUGAUAUGAGAUUUGAUUCUCCUAGCCCACAGACACCCCACCCCAACUAUGAUGGGCCUUCUUCUACGCCUACUGAAGUCGGGGGUUCAUCCACACCCACUGCCACCCCUGAUAAUCAUUCGAUGAUAUGUCCAUUGGGUUUUUUAUAAGUAUCCCUUAUCUUACUAAUCAAUUUUAACUUAAACAGAGAAAUUUUCAUUCUAACACAUUAUUUUACAAAUUAAUGUGUGUUUUAACAGGUUUGAUAAUAAUUUAUGCAAACGAGAUAUUUCUCGAAUUAUCCAAAGUAAGUUUGAGGGGCCAUACCCGAGUUGGAAGAAGACAGAUCCUGCUGUCAGGGAGAUGUGUCAAGACAAUUUGGUCGCCCACCUACACAAGCUGAGUUGUUCCUCACGACACAUAGAAGGAAAGACAAUUCCGAAUUCGUUGAUAGGAGGUCUGAGGAUACUUAUGCUAACUUUCAAACGCGACAGCACGAGGCAUCAUCACAGUCAUCGGCUGUUGGCCAUUCAGAAGAUAGUGAUGCUGGCCAGCCCUCGCAUCCAGCUAUUGACGAUAGAUCCUUAUGGUUGGAGGUUACGGGCGGUAAGAAAAAGGGUCGUGUUUAUGGAAUGGGGUCAGAAGCACAUAUAAUCCCCGGUUCCUACUAUGUAUCGACACCACAGCCACCGCCACCGCCACAGCCGUCGUCGUCCGUCUCACUAUCAGAUCAGACACAAGAAGCUAUUUGGGCAGCAAUAGAACCCUUCAACCAACGAAUCUCGCCUAUUGAAGAUAGAUUACAUCACCGUUCUUCAUAUUCGUCGCCCCAGAACCCUUCGGAUCAUUAGCAUGAUCCAUUAUUUGUAUGGAUAUGUAAUAUGGAAUUGUAGACGAUUAUGGAUUUGUAGAUGUUAUUUGUAUGCAUGAUAUGUUAUUUGUAAUUGUUAUCAGGUUGAAUUUUAAUUUUUUUUAAU